rnacentral:piRNA from 1 species
UGCCAAGAACUCAACUACAGAUGGGUAGC